rnacentral:misc_RNA from 1 species
AGAAAGUGAAUCUCUCCGAGUCUUGCACCUGUUACAUUGUAAACGGGAUGCAUAAUUAUGAUUAUUGCAAUUUGUGCACAUCCAAUCUCCGUUCCGCCACUGCUUUGCUCCUUUCCCUAGGAGCGUUGGUGCAGUUGCUUGUGGGGGAAAAUGCAUUGGCAUUUCCAAAUUUGGAGCUACAUUAGAACUUUCAUGGGGAUAAGAAUUAUAUAAUCCCACGUUUGGGUCACUACUGGAGCCCAUCAUCUGCUCAAAACCUGGGUAAGAUUGUU